AGAGUUUGAUCAUGGCUCAGGAUGAACGCUGGCGGCGUGCUUAAUACAUGCAAGUCGAGCGGACCUUUGCCGUUUGUUGCCGGUUUCCGGCGACAAAUGGCAAAGGUUAGCGGCGAACGGGUGAGUAACGCGUGGGUAAUCUGCCCCCAAGACCGGGAUAACAGAGCGAAAGCGCUGCUAAUACCGGAUGACCUCUCUUUAUCGCAUGGUGAAGGGAGCAAAGCUACGGCGCUUGGGGAUGAGCCCGCGUUCCAUUAGCUAGUUGGUGAGGUAACAGCUCACCAAGGCGACGAUGGAUAGCCGGCCUGAGAGGGUGACCGGCCACACUGGGACUGAGACACGGCCCAGACUCCUACGGGAGGCAGCAGUAGGGAAUUUUCGGCAAUGGGGGAAACCCUGACCGAGCAACGCCGCGUGAGGGAUGAAGGCCUUCGGGUCGUAAACCUCUGUCUUUGGGGACGAUAAUGACGGUACCCGAGGAGGAAGCCCCGGCUAACUACGUGCCAGCAGCCGCGGUAAU
rnacentral:rRNA from 1 species